UGCUGCAGCUAACGCAUUAAGCACUUCCGCCUGGGGAGUACGGUCGCAAGACUGAAACUCAAAGGAAUUGACGGGGGCCCGCACAAGCGGUGGAACAUGUGGUUUAAUUUCGAAGCAACGCGAAGAACCUUACCAGGUCUUGACAUUCCUCUGACAACUCUAGAGAUAGAGCGUUCCCCUUCGGGGGACAGAGUGACAGGUGGUGCAUGGUUGUCGUCAGCUCGUGUCGUGAGAUGUUGGGUUAAGUCCCGCAACGAGCGCAACCCUUGAUCUUAGUUGCCAGCAUUUAGUUGGGCACUCUAAGGUGACUGCCGGUGACAAACCGGAGGAAGGUGGGGAUGACGUCAAAUCAUCAUGCCCCUUAUGACCUGGGCUACACACGUGCUA
rnacentral:rRNA from 2 species